ACUCAAAUGAAUUGACGGGGACCCGCACAAGCGGUGGAUGAUGUGGAUUAAUUCGAUGCAACGCGAAGAACCUUACCUGCUCUUGACAUGUCAGGAAGAUCUGAGAGAUCAGAUUGUGCCUUCGGGAACCUGAACACAGGUGCUGCAUGGCUGUCGUCAGCUCGUGUCGUGAGAUGUUGUCUUAAGUGACGCAACGAGCGCAACCCUUGCUACUAGUUGCCCCAAUUAAGUUUGGCACUCUAGUGGGACUGCCGGUGCUAAGCCGGAGGAAGGUGGGGAUGACGUCAAGUCCUCAUGGCCCUUAUGAGCAGGGCUUCACACGUCAUACAAUGGUAGGUACAGACGGUCGCUAAGCCGCGAGGUGGAGCUAAUCCGAGAAAGCCUAUCGUAGUCCGGAUUGUAGUCUGCAACUCGACUACAUGAAGUCGGAAUCGCUAGUAAUCGCAGAUCAGAAUGCUGCGGUGAAUACGUUCCCGGGUCUUGUACACACCGCCCGU
rnacentral:rRNA from 1 species